CAACAAACCCAUUAGCAGUUUUGCAAAAAGGAAAUAGAGUGUAAUCGACUUGACGUUUUACAGUUGUUAUUUCCAAUGAAUUUGGAUUUUGUUAAAGCUUUAUUUGGCAACAAUAUGAUAAGGCGUAUUCUUUGCAACCUUCAAGAAGUACUUUAAACUGGAUUUACCUUCGCUCAUUCAUUGAACAUGGGGUGCAUCGUAGUUUUCGCAAAUAUCUAAUGUUUAAAAUGUAUUAACACGAGAAACAGGUUUUGUGUUUUAAUCAGGAAUCAGAUCACUAAACUGUCUUCCACCGGCAAGUAUUACCACAUCAAAAACGGUGUCUAUGCAAACUGAUGGAAGUAAACGAAUUGUCUUGUCAUGAUGAUCAAUCCCAACGCAAUUAAUCGCCACAAAAAAAAACUCCAAAGACGCAUUUUAUGGUAGAGCUAAGAACUUUUUACGGCCAACACAUUUUCAUUUUUUCUGCCAGUCACUCUGCAGAUUGUCAAACAACAAUCAGCUGUAUCAACAUGACUGCAAUUUACAUUUAAUAACAAGUAGAAUAUCCUUCAUUUCGAUGAUUUGACAUCCUGUUGCCGGCAUCGAAUGCCAUGGGCCAGCCAAUAAUGAGUGUCAAAAGCCCGAUAAAGACAUGGUCGAGGCCUCAAAAUAAAAAUUGUCAGUCAGUGCAAAGAGCAACUUGGCCAAAAUCGGCAGUUGCCAACUAUGAAAACUCGGUCAAAGACAACGGGUUUGCUUAAAUUCUUGACUUUAUGCGAACAGAAAGAGUCGUUGCUGCUGUUUCUGCGACAGCACAAUACCUAUCGAUAGUAAGAUCCAAAACUUUAAUUGCCGUUAGCUGGUUGCACUGAGAAAAAAACAAGUCAAUUAAAGCACUCCCUAUGGCAGUGAAAUACCACGAUUUACCCAUUAACAUUUAUUACCAACAUUAGAAAUACGACCAUAAACAUCUAAAUAACGUAAUUAAUAUAUUUUAAGCCAGUGAUUUCCCCAUUUAUAUUUAUUACCAACAUUUUUUUUCAAUUCAAGCAAAUGCCUAACAAUAUCCUAUUAACAAAAAUUUACAAUUCAAUUAUGCUGUUGCUUAAAAACUAUUACGCAAUACAAGACACAUAUAUUUAAUAAAACAAAUAUUUAAAUUAGAUGAAAAGAAAUACUAGACUUAGGAUUAAAAUACUUGAUUUAUAUUUUAAUUUGUAAUUUUUGGCAAACUGGUAAUAAAGACCCCUUAAAAUAAAUGCAAAAUUAA